UGGUUCUGGCAUNGAUGAAGAACGCAGCGAAAUGCGAUAAGUAAUGCGAAUUGCAGAAUUCCGUGAGUCAUCGAAUCUUUGAACGCACAUUGCGCCCUUUGGCAUUCCGAAGGGCAUGCCUGUUCGAGCGUCAUUAACAACCCUCAAGCCUGGCUUGCUGUUGGACCUGGUCGACCUUUGUCAACCGGUCUCGAAGAUAAUGACGGUGUCUGUUAGACCCCCAGUACAAUGAGCUCCCUUGAGCACGUACUGUGGUGGGCUUGCGGGCCCGGUCUCAUUUUAAUUCUUAAGGUUGACCUCGGAUCAGGUAGGAAUACCCGCUGA
rnacentral:misc_RNA from 1 species